GACGAACGCUGGCGGCGUGCCUAACACAUGCAAGUCGAGCGAAUGAAGUUCCUUCGGGAACGGAUUUAGCGGCGGACGGGUGAGUAACACGUGGGCAACCUGCCUCAUAGAGGGGAAUAGCCUUCCGAAAGGGAGAUUAAUACCGCAUAAGAUUGUAGUACCGCAUGGUACAGCAAUUAAAGGAGCAAUCCGCUAUGAGAUGGGCCCGUGGCGCAUUAGCUAGUUGGUGAGGUAACGGCUCACCAAGGCGACGAUGCGUAGCCGACCUGAGAGGGUGAUCGGCCACAUUGGGACUGAGACACGGCCCAGACUCCUACGGGAGGCAGCAGUGGGGAAUAUUGCACAAUGGGGGGAACCCUGAUGCAGCAACGCCGCGUGAGUGAUGACGGCCUUCGGGUUGUAAAGCUCUGUCUUCAGGGACGAUAAUGACGGUACCUGAGGAGGAAGCUACGGCUAACUACGUGCCAGCCGCCGCCGUAAUAC
rnacentral:rRNA from 1 species